rnacentral:rRNA from 1 species
AUUGAACGCUGGCGGCAGGCUUAACACAUGCAAGUCGAGCGAGCGGCGGACGGGUGAGUAAUGUCUGGGAAACUGCCUGAUGGAGGGGGAUAACUACUGGAAACGGUAGCUAAUACCGCAUACCAUCAGAUGUGCCCAGAUGGGAUUGGCGAGUAGGUGGGGUAAUGGCCCACCUAGGCGACGAUCCCUAGCUGGUCUGAGAGGAUGACCAGCCACACUGGAAAGGAGACACGGUACAGACGCCUACGGGAGGCAGCAGUGGGGAAUAGUGCACAAGGGGCGCAAGCCUGAUGCAGCCAUGCCGCGUGUGGGAAGAAGGCCUUCGGGUUGUAAAGCACUUUCAGCGAGGAGGCGUUACUCGCAGAAGAAGCACCGGCUAACUACGUGCCAGCCGCCGCGGUAAUUC